AUUGCGGAAGCUGAGGCUCGCCAUAUUGUGCGGCGGCGCCGGCGGCCGCGGCAGCUGAUACCAGAGUCUUGCUCCGGACGCGGCCAGCGGAGCCCCGGGCUGGGGCAGGAGCCGCAAUGUCUCAGGCUGUGCAGACAAACGGAACUCAACCAUUAAGCAAAACAUGGGAACUCAGUUUAUAUGAGUUACAACGAACACCUCAGGAGGCAAUAACAGAUGGCUUAGAAAUUGUGGUUUCACCUCGAAGUCUACACAGUGAAUUAAUGUGCCCAAUUUGUUUGGAUAUGUUGAAGAACACCAUGACUACAAAGGAGUGUUUACAUCGUUUUUGUGCAGACUGCAUCAUCACAGCCCUUAGAAGUGGGUAUGUUGAAAAGAAUUGUUAUACUAGGUACUUAAUUGUACCACGAAAGUGCUUUCCAGGGUUUGAGAAAUACAUUUUCUUUUUUUUUUUUUUUUUUGAGACAGAGUUUCGCUCUUCUUGCCCAGGCUGGAGUGCAAUGGCACGAUCUUGGUUCACUGCAACCUCUGCCUCCUGGGUUCAAGCGAUUCUCCUGCCUCAGCCUCCAGAGUAGCUGGGAUUACAGGCAUUGCCACGGUGGCCGGCUAGUUUUUUUUUUUUUUUUUUUUUUUUGUAUUUUUAG
rnacentral:sRNA from 1 species